UACAGAGGUCUCAAGCGUUGUUCGGAUUCAUUGGGCGUAAAGGGUGCGUAGGUGGCGCGCUAAGUCAGGUGUGAAAUUUCGGAGCUUAACUCCGAAACUGCAUUUGAUACUGGCGUGCUUGAGGACUGGAGAGGAGACUGGAAUUCAUGGUGUAGCAGUGAAAUGCGUAGAGAUCAUGAGGAAGACCAGUGGCGAAGGCGGGUCUCUGGACAGUUCCUGACACUGAGGCACGAAGGCCAGGGGAGCAAACCGG
rnacentral:rRNA from 1 species